rnacentral:rRNA from 1 species
GGGUUGUGAGGUUAAGCGACUAAGCGUACACGGUGGAUGCCCUGGCAGUCAGAGGCGAUGAAGGACGUGCUAAUCUGCGAUAAGCGCCGGUAAGGUGAUAUGAACCGUUAUAACCGGCGAUUUCCGAAUGGGGAAACCCAGUGUGAUUCGUCACACUAUCAUUAACUGAAUCCAUAGGUUAAUGAGGCGAACCGGGGGAACUGAAACAUCUAAGUACCCCGAGGAAAAGAAAUCAACCGAGAUUCCCCCAGUAGCGGCGAGCGAACGGGGAGGAGCCCAGAGCCUGAAUCAGCAUGUGUGUUAGUGGAAGCGUCUGGAAAGGCGCGCGAUACAGGGUGACAGCCCCGUACACAAAAGCGCAUGUGCUGUGAGCUCGAUGAGUAGGGCGGGACACGUGGUAUCCUGUCUGAAUAUGGGGGGACCAUCCUCCAAGGCUAAAUACUCCUGACUGACCGAUAGUGAACCAGUACCGUGAGGGAAAGGCGAAAAGAACCCCGGCGAGGGGAGUGAAAAAGAACCUGAAACCGUGUACGUACAAGCAGUGGGAGCACCCUUCGGGGUGUGACUGCGUACCUUUUGUAUAAUGGGUCAGCGACUUAUAUUCUGUAGCAAGGUUAACCGUAUAGGGGAGCCGGAGGGAAACCGAGUCUUAACCGGGCGUUAAGUUGCAGGGUAUAGACCCGAAACCCGGUGAUCUAGCCAUGGGCAGGUUGAAGGUUGGGUAACACUAACUGGAGGACCGAACCGACUAAUGUUGAAAAAUUAGCGGAUGACCUGUGGCUGGGGGUGAAAGGCCAAUCAAACCGGGAGAUAGCUGGUUCUCCCCGAAAGCUAUUUAGGUAGCGCCUCGUGAAUUCAUCUCCGGGGGUAGAGCACUGUUUCGGCUAGGGGGCCAUCCCGGCUUACCAACCCGAUGCAAACUGCGAAUACCGGAGAAUGUUAUCACGGGAGACACACGGCGGGUGCUAACGUCCGUCGUGAAGAGGGAAACAACCCAGACCGCCAGCUAAGGUCCCAAAGUCAUGGUUAAGUGGGAAACGAUGUGGGAAGGCCCAGACAGCCAGGAUGUUGGCUUAGAAGCAGCCAUCAUUUAAAGAAAGCGUAAUAGCUCACUGGUCGAGUCGGCCUGCGCGGAAGAUGUAACGGGGCUAAACCAUGCACCGAAGCUGCGGCAGCGAACGUAUCACCCAAGACAACUUUACGGAGUUGACGAUUGACGGAGCGAAGCGACGUCAAAGCGUUCAUUAAAGUCGAGUUGGCUUAGGGAUACGUUCGUUGGGUAGGGGAGCGUUCUGUAAGCCUGCGAAGGUGACCUGUGAGGGUUGCUGGAGGUAUCAGAAGUGCGAAUGCUGACAUAAGUAACGAUAAAGCGGGUGAAAAGCCCGCUCGCCGGAAGACCAAGGGUUCCUGUCCAACGUUAAUCGGGGCAGGGUGAGUCGACCCCUAAGGCGAGGCCGAAAGGCGUAGUCGAUGGGAAACGGGUUAAUAUUCCCGUACUUGGUGUUACUGCGAAGGGGGGACGGAGAAGGCUAUGUUGGCCGGGCGACGGUUGUCCCGGUUUAAGCGUGUAGGUGUGUGUUCCAGGUAAAUCCGGUUCACUUUAACACUGAGGCGUGACGACGAGGCACUACGGUGCUGAAGCAACAAAUGCCCUGCUUCCAGGAAAAGCCUCUAAGCAUCAGGUAACAUCAAAUCGUACCCCAAACCGACACAGGUGGUCAGGUAGAGAAUACCAAGGCGCUUGAGAGAACUCGGGUGAAGGAACUAGGCAAAAUGGUGCCGUAACUUCGGGAGAAGGCACGCUGACACGUAGGUGAAGUGAUUUACUCACGGAGCUGAAGUCAGUCGAAGAUACCAGCUGGCUGCAACUGUUUAUUAAAAACACAGCACUGUGCAAACACGAAAGUGGACGUAUACGGUGUGACGCCUGCCCGGUGCCGGAAGGUUAAUUGAUGGGGUCAGCGCAAGCGAAGCUCCUGAUCGAAGCCCCGGUAAACGGCGGCCGUAACUAUAACGGUCCUAAGGUAGCGAAAUUCCUUGUCGGGUAAGUUCCGACCUGCACGAAUGGCGUAAUGAUGGCCAGCUGUCUCCACCCGAGACUCAGUGAAAUUGAACUCGCUGUGAAGAUGCAGUGUACCCGCGGCAAGACGGAAAGACCCCGUGAACCUUUACUAUAGCUUGACACUGAACAUUGAGCCUUGAUGUGUAGGAUAGGUGGGAGGCUUUGAAGUGUGGACGCCAGUCUGCAUGGAGCCGACCUUGAAAUACCACCCUUUAAUGUUUGAUGUUCUAACGUGGACCCGUAAUCCGGGUUGCGGACAGUGUCUGGUGGGUAGUUUGACUGGGGCGGUCUCCUCCUAAAGAGUAACGGAGGAGCACGAAGGUUGGCUAAUCCUGGUCGGACAUCAGGAGGUUAGUGCAAUGGCAUAAGCCAGCUUGACUGCGAGCGUGACGGCGCGAGCAGGUGCGAAAGCAGGUCAUAGUGAUCCGGUGGUUCUGAAUGGAAGGGCCAUCGCUCAACGGAUAAAAGGUACUCCGGGGAUAACAGGCUGAUACCGCCCAAGAGUUCAUAUCGACGGCGGUGUUUGGCACCUCGAUGUCGGCUCAUCACAUCCUGGGGCUGAAGUAGGUCCCAAGGGUAUGGCUGUUCGCCAUUUAAAGUGGUACGCGAGCUGGGUUUAGAACGUCGUGAGACAGUUCGGUCCCUAUCUGCCGUGGGCGCUGGAGAACUGAGGGGGGCUGCUCCUAGUACGAGAGGACCGGAGUGGACGCAUCACUGGUGUUCGGGUUGUCAUGCCAAUGGCACUGCCCGGUAGCUAAAUGCGGAAGAGAUAAGUGCUGAAAGCAUCUAAGCACGAAACUUGCCCCGAGAUGAGUUCUCCCUGAGACUUUAGGUCUCCUGAAGGAACGUUGAAGACGACGACGUUGAUAGGCCGGGUGUGUAAGCGCAGCGAUGCGUUGAGCUAACCGGUACUAAUGAACCGUGAGGCUUAACCUUACAACGCCGAAG